rnacentral:rRNA from 1 species
GCGCCCGCUGACGACCGGCGCACGGGUGCGUAACGCGUAUGCAAUCUACCUUUUACAGGGGGAUAGCCCAGAGAAAUUUGGAUUAAUACCUCAUAGUAUAUGGCCUUGGCAUCAAGGCCAUAUUAAAGAUUUAUCGGUAAAAGAUGAGCAUGCGUUCUAUUAGCUGGAUGGUAAGGUAACGGCUUACCAUGGCGACGAUAGAUAGGGGCCCUGAGAGGGGGAUCCCCCACACUGGUACUGAGACACGGACCAGACUCCUACGGGAGGCAGCAGUGAGGAAUAUUGGACAAUGGGCGGGAGCCUGAUCCAGCCAUGCCGCGUGCAGGAAGACUGCCCUAUGGGUUGUAAACUGCUUUUGUACAGGAAGAAACACUCCCUCGUGAGGGAGCUUGACGGUACUGUAAGAAUAAGGAUCGGCUAACUCCGUGCCAGCAGCCGCGGUAAUACGGAGGAUCCAAGCGUUAUCCGGAAUCAUUGGGUUUAAAGGGUCCGUAGGUGGAUGAUUAAGUCAGAGGUGAAAUCCUGCAGCUCAACGGUAGAAUUGCCUUUGAUACUGGUUGUCUUGAAUUAUUGUGAAGUAGUUAGAAUAUGUGGUGUAGCGGUGAAAUGCAUAGAUAUCACAUAGAAUACCGAUUGCGAAAGGCAGAUUACUAACAAUACAUUGACACUGAUGGACGAAAGCGUG